rnacentral:rRNA from 1 species
UACGUAGGGUGCGAGCGUUGUCCGGAAUUAUUGGGCGUAAAGGGCUCGUAGGCGGUUUGUCACGUCGGGAGUGAAAACUCGGGGCUCAACCCCGAGCCUGCUUCCGAUACGGGCAGACUAGAGGUAUGCAGGGGAGAAUGGAAUUCCAGGUGUAGUGGUGAAAUACGUAGAUAUCUGGAGGAACACCGGUGGCGAAGGCGGCUACCUGGCCCAACAUUGACACUGAGACCCGAAAGCGUGGGGAUCAAACAGG